rnacentral:lncRNA from 1 species
AUGAAUACUGUCUUGGAGAAAUGUGGAAAUUACUGCCACUUUAUUGUGUAUUCAGAGGCUUUUUCUUUUUUUCUUUUUUUUUUUUUGUUUGUUUAUUUUUUGAAAAUGAUACCAAAUAACUAUUUUUACAAGACCUAUGAGCAAUUGUUUCCAUGCUGGACUAAGACAAAGAAGCAGUUGCUGGCACUGCCAAUAAUAUAUCUGCCUGCUAAUCAAAGGACAACACGUUCAUAUGUCUUCAGUGUAAGAGGUGGCUUCCAGAAAACUCCAGCUGACUGCCUGGGGUGCCUGCUUUAGGCUUUUUGAAUACUGUAGCAUCCCAAAUCUUCACUGAUUCCAACUGCUGCUGACAAACCCUGCACUUCUUUAGUCACUGGAGAGAAGUGGUCACCAUGUCUGAGUGGAGGUCUGACUAAGACCCAACAAUGCAUUUUGUUUUCUUUUCUCCAGAAGAAGGAAGAGUGAAUAAUUCUAAAGAAUUGAGGGGGAAAAGUAAAAAUCCUGUGGGCUUGGAUCUUGUUUGCCAUUGUUUCCCUAGGAAGAAGACAAGAAGAGAGUCACAAAUAUUUUUUUCCAAUGGGUUUUGUUUGCUUCAAAGAUUGGACUGAGUUCUCUUCUUCUUGAGGGGCAGGAGAACUAUGAGUACCUCUGCUCACAAGCCUAUUUCUCAAAGUAUAUCAUGUGCAGGAACAUCUCCAAUGAACUUGUUCACAGCCAUCUCUUAGAGUUCUUAGAAAUGAAAAACCAGUUCUGAAAGAGUUUAUCUGUGCUGGUCUUGUCUCAAAUAAGGCAUCCACACACUGUCUCUUAAUGUUCAGUGCUAAGCAUGUUCAGACACCGGAUGAUUCUGCACAGGGAGACAGGUUGUUUGCUAGAGGUAACAGCUCUCAGAGGUGAAGCAGGAAAGGUCUUCAAAACCAUGGACAGUUUUUUAUAAGUGACACAUCUGAAAAAGAACAGCAAAGAAACUGAGGAAAGUUUUGAAAUUUACCUUUGUCAUAUUGAUCUUUAGUGUUGCCAUCAUUAAGUAUAAAUUUGAAUGUGUACGUUCUGAGUGAAAAAAAAACCCAGAGGUAUAAAAUAUAAUAU